rnacentral:tRNA from 1 species
AAAUAAGAAGCAAUUUAUGCAUUUAAUUUCGACUUAAAAGAGAGAGUUUUACUAACUCCUUAUUUA